rnacentral:rRNA from 1 species
UACGUAGGGUGCAAGCGUUAAUCGGAAUUACUGGGCGUAAAGCGUGCGCAGGCGGUGAUGUAAGACAGUUGUGAAAUCCCCGGGCUCAACCUGGGAAUUGCAUCUGUGACUGCAUCGCUAGAGUACGGUAGAGGGGGAUGGAAUUCCGCGUGUAGCAGUGAAAUGCGCAGAUAUCAGGAGGAACACCGAUGGCGAAGGCGGCAUCCUGGACCAACACUGACGCUGAGGAGCGAAAGCCAGGGGAGCAAACGGG